GUAGAGUCAGAGUAUCUCCCUCAAUCACAGGAUCAACAGAACUCACCAGAAUCACAUCACCAUCUACACAACACAAGAAAUGCGUGCAUUAGAGUUACUCUGAUCCUCACAGCUCAGAGAGAGAGAGUCAGAUGAGAAGUGUUGACUUCUGCUGGGACUGACCACCAGA